AAGAUGCGAGCGUUAUCCGGAUUUAUUGGGUGUAAAGGGAGCGCAGGCGGUGCGGCAAGUCUGGUGUGAAAGGCCGGGGCCCAACCCCGGGACUGCAUUGGAAACUGUCGCGCUGGAGUGUCGGAGGGGCAGGCGGAAUUCCUAGUGUAGCGGUGAAAUGCGUAGAUAUUAGGAGGAACACCGGUGGCGAAGGCGGCCUGCUGGACGGCAACUGACGCUGAGGCUCGAAAGCGUGGGGAGCAA
rnacentral:rRNA from 1 species